UACGGGGGGGGCAAGCGUUGUUCGGAAUUACUGGGCGUAAAGGGCGCGUAGGCGGCCUUCUGAGUCGGACGUGAAAUCCCUCGGCUUAACCGAGGAACUGCGUCCGAGACUGAAAGGCUUGAAUCCGGGAGAGGGAUGUGGAAUUCCAGGUGUAGCGGUGAAAUGCGUAGAUAUCUGGAGGAACACCGGUGGCGAAGGCGGCAUCCUGGACCGGCAUUGACGCUGAGGCGCGAAAGCUAGGGGAGCAAACGGG
rnacentral:rRNA from 1 species